UUGGAGGGCAAGUCUGGUGCCAGCAGCCGCGGUAAUUCCAGCUCCAAUAGCGUAUAUUAAAGUUGUUGCAGUUAAAAAGCUCGUAGUUGAAUUUCGGGAUCAAUGUUUCGGUCAUGCCGUUGGUAUGUACUGAUAUUAUUGGUUUCUCACCUUCUAAAGAACCGUAAUGCCAUUAAUUUGGUGUCACGGGGAAUUAGGACUGUUACCUUGAAAAAAUUAGAGUGUUUAAAGCAGGCUCACGCUUGAAUACAUUAGCAUGGAAUAAUGAAAUAGGGCAUCCGAUUUUAUUUUGUUGGUUUCUAGGAUCGAUGUAAUGAUUAAUAGGGAUAGUUGGGGGCAUUAGUAUUCAAUUGUCAGAGGUGAAAUUCUUGGAUUUAUUGAAGACUAGCUACUGCGAAAGCAUUUGCCAAGGAUGUUUUCAUUAAUCAAGAACGAAAGUUAGGGGAUCGAAGACGAUCAGAUACCGUCGUAGUCUUAACCAUAAACUAUGCCGACUAGGGAUCGGAUGAUGUUAAUUUUUUAAUGACUCAUUCGGCGCCUUACGGGAAACCAAAGUGUUUGGGUUC
rnacentral:rRNA from 1 species